GGGUGAGUAACGCGUGGGUAAUUUACCUUCAAGUUGGGGACAACUCCGAGAAAUCGGGGCUAAUACCGAAUAAGACUACAGUUCCGCAUGGAGCAGUAGGAAAAGAUGGGGAUCCGCAAGGACCUAUCACUUGGAGAUAAGCCUGCGUCCUAUCAGCUAGUUGGUGAGGUAACGGCCCACCAAGGCUUUUGACGGGUAGCUGGUCUGAGAGGAUGGUCAGCCACACUGGGACUGAGACACUGCCCAGACUCCUACGGGAGGCUGCAGUCGAGGAUAUUUUGCAAUGGGCGAAAGCCUGACAAUGCGACGCCGCGUGAGCGAUGAAGGCCUUCGGGUCGUAAAGCUCUGUUACAUGGGACGAAGAAUCUAGAGGUGAAUAAUCUUUAGGUUUUGACGGUACCGUGAAAGAAAGCCACGGCUAACUCCGUGCCAGCAGCCGCGGUAAUACGGAGGUGGCAAGCGUUGUUCGGAUUUAUUGGGUGUAAAGGGCGUGUAGGUGUCUCGAUAAGUCAUUUGUGAAAUCCCUUGGCUUAACCAAGGAACUGCAUUUGAAACUGUCGAGAUUGAGUAUGGAAGGGGAGAAUGGAAUUCCCGGUGUAAGGGUGAAAUCUGUAGAUAUCGGGAGGAACACCGAUAGCGAAGGCGAUUCUCUGGUCCAAUACUGACACUGAGGCGCGAAAGCUAGGGGAGCAAACAGGAUUAGAUACCCUGGUAGUCCUAGCCGUAAACGAUGGGCACUAGGUGUGGGUCCUUUAUGGAUCCGUGCCGCAGCUAACGCAUUAAGUGCCCCACCUGGGGAGUACGGUCGCAAGGCUGAAACUCAAAGAAAUUGACGGGGACCCGCACAAGCGGUGGAGCAUGUGGUUUAAUACGACGCUACGCGUGGAACCUUACCAAGGCUUGACAUGCAAGUAGUAGUGAACUGAAAGGGGAACGAUCCCGCAAGGGAAGCUUGCACAGGUGUUGCAUGGCUGUCGUCAGCUCGUGUCGUGAGAUGUUGGGUUAAGUCCCGCAACGAGCGCAACCAUUGUUCUUAGUUGCUAUCUGCUUAUGGUAGAGCACUCUAAGGAGACUGCCUCGGUUAACGAGGAGGAAGGUGAUGAUGACGUCAAGUCAGUACGGCCCUUAUGCCUUGGGCUACACACGUGCUACAAUGGCCUGUACAAAGGGUUAUGCAAGAUCGUGAGAUGGAGCUAAUCCCAAAAACCAGGCCCCAGUUCAGAUUGAAGGCUGCAAUUCGCCUUCAUGAAGUUGGAAUCGCUAGUAAGCGUGGAUCAGCCACGCCGCGCUGAAUACGUUCCCGGGUCUUGUACACACCGCCCGUCAAGUCACCUGAGUCAAGUGCACCCGAAGAUAUUGACCCAACUUCGCAAGAAGAGGGAGGUAUCGAAGGUGUGUUUGGUAAGGGGGACUAAGUCGUAACAAGGUA
rnacentral:rRNA from 1 species